rnacentral:rRNA from 1 species
UGAGUAACCUGCCCUUCGCUCUGGGAUAACUCCGGGAAACCGGGGCUAAUACUGGAUAUGACUCGAACAGGCAUCUGUUUCGGGUGGAAAGAUUUAUUGGUGGAGGAUGGACUCGCGGCCUAUCAGCUUGUUGGUGAGGUAAUGGCUCACCAAGGCGACGACGGGUAGCCGGCCUGAGAGGGCGAUCGGCCACACUGGGACUGAGACACGGCCC